UUGUAUAAAAAAUGUUUGAGCUGCAAAUAAGAGUCUGUGCAGUGAAGACUAUAAACAAAAUAGGCUCUUCUAAAUGCCAUUAAUCUGACAGUUUGAUGCUGUUUCCCGCCUUGUGUUGAGUGCGUUGAGAGCAGACCAGUCAUUUCCAUAGAGGAGGCUUUGCAUCAUCAGCUGAUCCUCCAGUGAACUCACAAGGUUUAUAGUGGUGUGAGUUCAACACUGCAGGACUCACAUGUGUCAGUCAACACAGCAGGAAGCACAAGCAGCAUGACUCUCAUCACCAUCCUCAUCUGGACGCUGCUCUGCUGCUGCUUUACAGGAUGCAGUGGUCAGGUGACGGUGACUCAGCCUCCAGUGGAGACGUUCACUGCAGGAUCCACUGUGACGCUCACCUGUAAAACCAGCGCAGAUGUUUAUAGGUGGAGUAAUGGUAAUGAGUGUAUGUCCUGGUACCAACAGAAACCUGGUCAGAGCCCAAAGCUCCUGAUAUAUUAUGUAAAAAAGCUGCAGUCAGGGACACCAGAUCGGUUUAGUGGCAGUGGAAGCGGCUCUGACUUCACUUUGACCAUCAGAGGAGUUCAGGCUGAAGAUGCUGCAGUUUAUUACUGUCAGAGUUACCAUAGUGGUGGAGUGUUCACACAGUGAUUUAGCGCCGUACAAAAACCUCCUCAGUCAGAGACACUGAGCUGUUACAGCAGGAACCAACUGCAGCUGCUGAAGUGGAACAGACUCUGACACAGACACUGAACUCAGUUGAAACUAACCUCAACAAACACUCACUGCAUGUACAAUAAUACACAUCUGGAGACUUGCAUGAGUCAAAUCCUGUGAACUCUUCUUGUAA